UUCAGACGUCAAGAUAUUGAACUUAUAAAGUCCAAGAAAUUUUGUACCAUUUUAAGUUGUUAUAAUGCCCAAGUAUUAUUAUAAAAUUAAAAUGUUAUUAGGAAUACACUCUUGAUAAUUUUCUAAAACAAACAAAUCCGAACGCGAGUAUAGUCUAAUUUAUACUUGAAUUUAAUAACGAUUUAAAUAUAGUAGAGGUUAUUAUAAAUAUUUUAAAUAAAUAAAUAUUUUAAUUUGUAACGGGAUUAUGUUUAUUUAACCGUAAAUUAUAUUCU
rnacentral:lncRNA from 1 species